rnacentral:rRNA from 1 species
UACGUAGGGUGCGAGCGUUGUCCGGAAUUACUGGGCGUAAAGAGCUCGUAGGCGGCCUGUCACGUCGGAUGUGAAAACCCGGGGCUCAACCCCGGGCCUGCAUUCGAUACGGGCAGGCUAGAGUUCGGCAGGGGAGACUGGAAUUCCUGGUGUAGCGGUGAAAUGCGCAGAUAUCGGGAGGAACACCAGUGGCGAAGGCGGCGAUCUGGGCAGAUACUGACGCUGAGGUGCGAAAGCGUGGGGAGCAAACAGG